rnacentral:rRNA from 1 species
ACGAACGCUGGCGGCGUGCUUAACACAUGCAAGUCGAACGGAAAGGCCCUGCUUUUGUGGGGUGCUCGAGUGGCGAACGGGUGAGUAACACGUGAGUAACCUGCCCUUGACUUUGGGAUAACUUCAGGAAACUGGGGCUAAUACCGGAUAGGAGCUCCUGCUGCAUGGUGGGGGUUGGAAAGUUUCGGCGGUUGGGGAUGGACUCGCGGCUUAUCAGCUUGUUGGUGGGGUAGUGGCUUACCAAGGCUUUGACGGGUAGCCGGCCUGAGAGGGUGACCGGCCACAUUGGGACUGAGAUACGGCCCAGACUCCUACGGGAGGCAGCAGUGGGGAAUAUUGCACAAUGGGCGGAAGCCUGAUGCAGCAACGGCGCGUGCGGGAUGACGGCCUUCGGGUUGUAAACCGCUUUCGCCUGUGACGAAGCGUGAGUGACGGUAAUGGGUAAAGAAGCACCGGCUAACUACGUG